rnacentral:rRNA from 1 species
GAUGAACGCUGGCGGCGUGCCUAAUACAUGCCAGUCGAGCGAACAGACGAGGAGCUUGCUCCUCUGACGUUAGCGGCGGACGGGUGAGUAACACGUGGAUAACCUACCUAUAAGACUGGGAUAACUUCGGGAAACCGGAGCUAAUAUCGGAUAAUAUAUUGAACCGCAUGGUUCAAUAGUGAAAGACGGUUUUGCUGUCACUUAUAGAUGGAUCCGCGCCGCAUUAGCUAGUUGGUAAGGUAACGGCUUACCAAGGCGACGAUGCGUAGCCGACCUGAGAGGGUGAUCGGCCACACUGGAACUGAGACACGGUCCAGACUCCUACGGGAGGCAGCAGUAGGGAAUCUUCCGCAAUGGGCGAAAGCCUGACGGAGCAACGCCGCGUGAGUGAUGAAGGUCUUCGGAUCGUAAAACUCUGUUAUUAGGGAAGAACAAAUGUGUAAGUAACUAUGCACGUCUUGACGGUACCUAAUCAGAAAGCCACGGCUAACUACGUG